rnacentral:rRNA from 1 species
GAUGAACGCUGGCGGCGUGCCUAAUACAUGCAAGUCGAGCGAACGGACGAGAAGCUUGCUUCUCUGAUGUUAGCGGCGGACGGGUGAGUAACACGUGGAUAACCUACCUAUAAGACUGGGAUAACUUCGGGAAACCGGAGCUAAUACCGGAUGAUAUUUUGAACCGCAUGGUUCAAAAGUGAAAGACGGUCUUGCUGUCACUUAUAGAAGGAUCCGCGCUGCAUUAGCUAGUUGGUAAGGUAACGGCUUACCAAGGCAACGAUGCAUAGCCGACCUGAGAGGGUGAUCGGCCACACUGGAACUGAGACACGGUCCAGACUCCUACGGGAGGCAGCAGUAGGGAAUCUUCCGCAAUGGGCGAAAGCCUGACGGAGCAACGCCGCGUGAGUGAUGAAGGUCUUCGGAUCGUAAAACUCUGUUAUUAGGGAAGAACAUAUGUGUAAGUAACUGUGCGCAUCUUGACGGUACCUAAUCAGAAAGCCACGGCUAACUACGUG